GCACGGGUGAGUAACACGUAGGUAAUCUACCUUUGGAUUGGGAAUAACACCGAGAAAUCGGUGCUAAUACCGAAUAAUGCAGCGGCACCUAAUGGUGACAGUUGUUAAAGCGGGGGAUCGCAAGACCUCGCGUCUAAAGAGGAGCCUGCGGCGGAUUAGCUAGUUGGUAAGGUAACGGCUUACCAAGGCGAUGAUCCGUAGCCGGCCUGAGAGGGCGGUCGGCCACACUGACACUGACAUACGGGUCAGACUCCUACGGGAGGCAGCAGUCGGGAAUUUUGGGCAAUGGGCGAAAGCCUGACCCAGCAACGCCGCGUGAAGGAUGAAAUCCCUCGGGAUGUAAACUUCGCAAGAACGGGAAGAAUAAGUCGGUGCUAACACCAUC
rnacentral:rRNA from 1 species